GUGAUUAAAUGUAUAUAUGUGUCGGGAAUUACUCUCAUACAAUAUUUUAUUGACCGUUCAUCAUGAUUAACUAUCUAAAUUUCCACUACAAAUAAUAACCUUUGAAUUUAUAAUUCAAAUUCAAGUUAGAGCUAAGAUUUAAGUCUUGAAAAUUCUUUUGAAUCUUCUUUAGAAAGUCCUUUUGAUUCUUUUGAGAAGUCUUCUUUAAUUUGUAAUAACCUGUUUCAAAACUCGAGUAAUUGAGUAUGAUAAUGAUGAAAAUAUAUUCAUGAGUCUACAUUAUCAUCGAGAUCCUUCAUAUAAUGAAUCAUAAAUCUUUAAUUCAUAAUUCAAAUUCAAGAAAGAGCUAAGAGUAUAGUUCAAGAAAGUCUUUGAGUUCAAUUGUUAAUCCUUUGAGAUCAACUAUUGAUUUGGGCUAAGUUUUGAUAAAGUAAGUAUGAAAUUGAGAAAAAUCAUAUACAUGAAUUCCAUAUUGUUAUUUAGACCCUCAAGUCGAGUCGUUAAUGCCCAAAAAUUUUGGUAUGAAUUUCAUAAGUUGAGUAUCUUUGAGAGGAGUAGUAUCUUCAAGGUCUAAGUCUUGAGUAUUGAGUUCCUAAUCAUUUAGGGAUUAUAUUCCUAAUCAUGGGGCUACUAUCGGUUACCCACGGAGGUCCUUGAGUUGAGAAACUCAUGCCUAUACACUACAACAAAUUCGAUUAUCAGGAAUAAAUAAUUUCGUCAUUUAUAAACAAUUUUUCGUCAUUAAAAAUCUUGUGUGACGAAAAAUAAUUCGUCACUAAAAGUAUACAAAGACAAUUUAGUGCUUCGUCACUGAAAAUAUUAUAUUAACUACAAAAAGAAAAAUCGUCCCCAAAUCCUUAAACAAUUGUGGACAAAAUUUAUUUGUCGUAAAAAGUACGUAUACCUUUUUGUAGUUAAUAAUGUUUUGUCAAUAAAAGGUUAUUACUACCGACAGAAUUAUAUUGUCGCACAGAAUUAUAUUGUUGCUAGUUAUUUUACUUCAAUUAGUGACAAAAUCACUUGUCUCUAUAGUUAAAUAUAUUUCGUAGUUGAAGAAAAUCUCAUUUCGCCACUAAUGACUAUAUUUUAUAUACAAAAAAUUAUUUUAUUCUUUAAUGUAUUAGGGAUAAAUCUAUCAUUACAAAAAAAAUUAUUUUCCUAUGAUAUAUAUAUAUAUAUAUAUAUAUAUAUAUAUAUAUAUAUAUAUAUAUAUAUAUAUAUAUAUAUAUAUAUGGUUAAGAGAGAAGCAAUUUGAUAUUGCUUCUCUCUUAGCCAAAUAUCUUGAUUUUGAGUCUUGGAUAUGAAAAAAAAAAAUCUUAAUAGGGAGCGCUAUAUUCGAAUAGGCCUUAUUUCGACGCAAAGUAUAAUUAAUCAAAUUUUCAUAUGAAUAUUGCAUAAUUAUUAAAAUUACUAUUAGGAAUUUACUAAUUUUUUGGUAUAUAUAUGUUCACAUGGAUAUAUUACUAUUUAUAAUUAGACAAUAUUUUUAUGUCCAAGUGAACACAUAUAUACCUUUAAAGUAUAUGAUUAAAUAGUGAAUGAUAUAAAAUGUCCUUUUUAAAUUUGAUAACGUACAACAAUUCGGUCAAAGUUCAGAUAUAUUUUAAGACCCUUUUCCCUUUCUAUUUCGGAGAUUCCAAUAAGGCCGAACCCAUCAGUGACCCCUUAAAGUUGGCAACAAGUUUCACUUAGACACCUCAAUUACAUCGCACAUUUUAGACACCUCAUGUAAGAUUUCAUUAUAUUAUUUUAACACUUUAGUGACAAUAAACAAAAAAACUAAAGGAGAGUAUAAUACACUCGUUCAUGACGUGGCAAACAAUCAAUUAAAUAAUUACAUGCGUUAUUUUCAGUUAAAAAUAAUUAUAAAAUCUAUUAGUAAAUAACAUAAGUAUAUUAUUCUAAGAAAAUCUCGUAUUUCAUUACAUUCAAAAUCUCUUUUUGUGCUUUUUAAAAAAAAUUAUUCUUUUCUUUUCCUAUUUUUCAUAUUUAUUCUUCUUCUUUAUUUUUAGUAUUAUUUUUUAAAAAGAAAAGAAAGAAAGAGAGAAUAAAUUUGAAAUAAGGGUAUUGAUAUAUAUUUUUCCGGCAAAAAAAAUGUAAGAAAGUGAUGACAAAUUUAGAUAAGUAAUACAAUGAAAAAGAAGGAAAUCACUUAAAAAUAAAUUUGAUAAAAAAAAUUGACUUUUAAAGGAGGUGGCUUGAAAACUGGAGAAGAAAAAAAUUAAAAAAUAAUUAAAUCAAGUCUGUCACGCACUAUGGUUGAGUGCAUCACACUCAAUUGACAUGUCAUCAAAAAGUAUUAAAAUGACACAACAAAAUGCCACAUGAAAGUGUCUAAAAUGAAUAUAGCUUAAUUGAGGUAUCUUAUAGAAACUUCAACCAAUGGAUUUUAGUCUUCCAGUAAUUACUCACUACUUUUACUAUCAUUGUCACUUUGUCAGUGAAAAAUGCAAACAUUCACAUAAAUAAAUAUAUUUACGUACUAAAGCGUUUGGCCAUGUAAUACCAUAUCACCAUAUGUUAUUCUGAGAUUAAGUAAUGACCACUCUGAUUUUAUACAAACACAAUACACUUUUCACAAGUGUCUACCAAUAAAUUUUAACAAAGUAUAGUAUCGAAUAUCUAUAUAUGAUUUACCUCUCCCACCUAUUUUCAUUUUUCAUUUCAGUAUUACUAACCGAGUAUGUAUAAUUAGCGAUUCUAAGUGAUUGACUGAAGUAUCUAGCUCUACCAAUAUGGAUCGUAUAAGAGAGUUUUUUCCUACCUUCCACACAAGAAUAAACUACGGAUAAUCGUGAAAGCUAUUGUAUAAAUAUACAUUUUCGACAUACCAAUGCAAUUUUACAUGCCACACCAUAGGCAGACACAAAAUUCACAAUCAUUGUACACUAAAAAAUCAAAACUUCGUUAUGGCGGCCUAGUAUAUAAUAGAUGACAAUGAAAUUGAAUGCAGUAGAAUUUAGAGAUAUCAAAUUCAAGAGAAGAAUAAAAAAAAUUCACAGAUGACUUACCUGAAAUUGAAAGAAGCCAAACAACAGGCACAGUUAGAACCUACAACUAGACAAUCUAGAAGAUGAGCUCUUUGAUGGCAGUUGGUAUCAUGUUUAUUUAAAGCAUGAAUAGAAAUUUCUAGAGAGAAAUAUUUUUAUACUUGUGUUUGGUAUUUCGCCACGUGGAGAGAAAUCAGGGAACAAGCACAAUAAAAUCAAAUAGGGUGUCAAUAAACAUAUCAUAUUGUGUGUACAAUAGUAUAACCAUACUUUUAUUAUAACUCUAGAUCUGCUAUAAAAGAGUGUAUCCUUUUCUCAUUUUUGUUUUCCUUUCGGACUUUCUAAACAACAAUUUUCCUUGAACAAUAUUUUUAUUUCACCUCUUGUAGUUCUCAUUUCAUCCUAUUAUAUUA
rnacentral:lncRNA from 1 species